CGGCCCAGGCCCAGGCCUAGGCCCCGCGCACUGCCCCCGGUACUGCCUCGGUACUGCUCCGGCACCGCUCCGGUACUGCUCCGGCACCGCCCCGGCUCCGCCAGCACUGUCCCGCCACUGCCCCGGUCCCGGCAGCACAGCCCCGGUGCUGCCGGCACAGCCUGGGCCCCAUCGCGUGGAGACAUCGUCUGUGCAGGUGCUCUUAAUGUCUCCGCGUGUCUGUGUCCCCCCAGGACUCGCAGGUGUUGCUGUCAGUGAUCCUCAAGGUUACAGACCGCAGACUCAGCCCUGCCUUCUGCGGCUGUGUCUGUGUGUACCCACAAGUAGGUACAUUCUCUGCACAGAGGGGCCUGGGAGCCCUGCUAGACAACGAGCUAUCCAAGACCAAUGGUAUACUGGGAUGUAUUAGGAAGAGCAUUGACAGCAGAUUGAAGGAGAUGAUCCUGCCCCUCUACUGAGACCUGUUUCUUCUUCUACGACAGCUAACACAGAAAAAGAUCAAGGAUUGUCGUAAAAAAACAAAAAGCAGAGAACUACCUGGUGUUAUCUGUUACAUUGGCAGAUUGUCUGUGGAGAGCAAGGCUUGAUCCACAACAGAGGAUCCUUUGAGCUGUAGUGUUUACCUUGCUGUCUCAAGGCCUAACUGCUUCAUUCUUUGUAAUUUGAUUAUUUGGUCACGCCCUGGAAUGCAAAGUACUGCUCUGAUGUAUUUGUAUAAACCUAGGCUCUUCAAAUACUGCAACGUACAGUACAUUUUGCUGGUGUCUCACAUAGGGGUUUCCACUCAUUCCUUGGGAUGACAGCUGGGGCACACCAAAAACAUCUCCCUGGAGACUUAGACCAAAAUAUCUACUACACUCUCAAUGUGAGUAUCCUCAUUUUCAGCUGAGAAAUUUAGCUCAGAGAAGUUUCAACCAGAUGAAGAUAAUCUACAAAUUGAGGUGAUUUCAUGAGGCAAAUUCCCCAGUGGAGCUGAGAUGAAUUUUUCUCAUCCCACCACAGCUAAGUGCACAACUACCUCCUGGUAUCAGGUAUUUCUCCUCUGUGUGAAGGGAUGACAGAAACAUAAUUUGCAGAAGUCUCGUCCUUUUUAAGUAAUUUUCUGCUAUUUUAUCCAUUAGCAAUAGGAGAAAGCUUGGCCAUUGCUGAAUGCCAGGUAGGCAAUUAAUACAAUCAUUUCUUCUUUGUUGCUGGUCCCUCAGACUCUGGAACUCCUCGGCAGUUGAGGAUUAGUAAAAUAACCCCAGUCACUAUGACUAACUCAUAAACUUUGUUUGACCAUGUGCUUGGGCAUGUAGGGCUUCCAUUCUCUGAGGCACUCUGGUCACCGUCAGGUUGCGUUUGACAAGUAAUAUGGAUAAUAGUAACAAUCCUUAGAGUUUAAUAUUUCACCAAAACAUAGGGCUCUCAAAUGCUCCAAUCCUGAGUGAUGUAUUUCUGCUAAUGAUUUUGCCACAAAAUAUUUUAAUAGCUACAGGGCUUUUCUGAGAUGACUUUACAGGUCAUCCCUUGUACAGUCUGGGCUAGGUACUCAGGAAAGGUUUUCAUUAAGGGUUUAUCAAGGAUCAUUCAUUCAUUUCCAAUUUUCUGUGUAAAGCCAUCUGGCCAUGUGUGUACCAUUACCCUGUACCCAUCACCAUGGCAUCUAAGUGCCCUCUUCAUGUCCCUGUUUAUAUUCAUUAUUGACUAACGUUUGCAAACAGAAUUCUGUUCCCUGUGAAGAUUUGGAGAAGGACUGCUCUUCAUACAAAUGCCACAUUCAUGUGUUAACAUGGGUGUCUGUGCACAACAAAAUGUUCAUUAACAAGGUCUAUCUACUACAAAUCAUUCAUUCCUCUGUUUCAAAAGUUUUCUGUACCCAGCCAAGAGACUUCACUGACUGCUUACUAGCUCAGCACUAAUAAUGCACAGUAGAAAGGAACAGCUUGUGAAGACCUCCCCCAAACCACAAACACCCUCUUAUAAUAACACCUAACACAGCUAAGCUAUGGUCCCUCAUAGCAGUUGCCACCAUCCUAGUGCUGCCUCAGAAGAAAUCUGUGUUGUCUCACCAGCAGCCAGAAAACAGAGAAAAAAUCAUGUUUCUCAAGUAACUGGUUCAAAAUACCAGAGGGAACCAAUGGACAUCAUUUUUUCUUCUAACCAAGGGUUUUGUGUGCCCAAAACACUUCUAGUUUGUUGUCCCAUGUCCAUUUUCACCGAGGUAUGCACAAAGUGGAUAUGUAUUCAAAGAACAAGCUGCCAUUUUCAUACUGAAAGGACUGCAGCCAAAAUUGAAGUUUUCAUCUGCCGUAGUACAGACAACCCCGCAUCUCCAAAAUCAAAUUAAUGGGAAUUGCUCUGCUAUCAGAACAUUUGUACCUAAAGCAUCUGUCUAGGAAUGCAGAUAUUGGCUCUGUUCUCUACUUUUUUGCCUCCCAUUCUGAAAACCUGUCUGAAGUAUAAUCCUGUAAAUUGACUGCAAGGUCAAGGCAUAAAACUUAGCAAGUAAAUAGUGCAAAAUCCUGAAAUAAACACCAAGGAAUGCGGGAGUGCCAAUGCAAAAAUAGCAAUAAAGAACAUUUAAGUGUCUCACAUAAAUGGCUAAUAUAAGCCUGAUGACAUCCUCUUCAGCAUCAAUGCACCUCAGGCCAUGCCUUUGCAAACAAUUAGGUGCAAUGAAAAUUUGCAGGCACAUUUAUCGGGAGCGCAGUAGGAGCUUGAGUCACACAGGGAACAUGAUGCAUAUAAAUACAGGCCAAAACUGUUUACUGCUACGAGUAGCCUGGAUAAAAUCAGAUCAGGGAGCAGGAAAAACAAAAUGUGGUAAGAGACAGCUGAAAAUUGGUUUGGACACCUCUCUAUAUAGUAUACUAACUUAACCCCACCUGUUUGUUCAGUAGCAAGCAGAAUCCAUGAGCUGGUUUAAAAGGUGACUUUCAAAAAUACUUAGCAGGAGGAGAUGUCGUGGAGCAAAAGCUUAAAUCUCCCAGAGUCACUGUCUGGCCUGUUGUGUGGCCUCCACGGUCUUCCAGAGUGGCAAAUGCUUCCCAGGAUGCUCUGGGAGAGCUGACACACUGAACUAAUCUUUAGUUUAUUGAUGUACUACUUCACUGAGAGAUGUACUAUAUCAAUAAAUGGCUUUAGUUAAGAAGCUGAGGUCUAAGAAGCAGUGGUAGGUGCUCGCAAAAGUACAUCAAAGCUUACAGAAAAUAAAAUCAAGAGCUUGUGGGAGGAAAUUGAUGUCUAGGAAGGACAGAAAGAACAAACAAACAUCGAAAACUUCUAAGUAGGAGUUUUGUAGAAGACAGUGUUGUUGGCCAUCUUAAACAUUUAAGAAACCACAUUUUGCUGGUUUCUGCAUUCUUCCCAGUUUUACAUCAGCCUAUGAACAGAUUAUUAGGGAGUAAAUAGCAGCAGCCACCAGUAAAAAAUCCCAAUUGCCUUAUGAUGAAAUAGGAAAUCACUGUCCCACCAAGGGCAAUGUGGCCUGGUAACUGAUAGAUUUUUUGCAGUGAUAAACCCCAAAUCACUUAAUACGCUACUGCAGUAGACAGGACUUGUAGUCCAGUUGGGCUUGAUGGUAAGCUCAGAAUAGAGGAAUAGGAGUAAAAAAAAGUCUAAGUUCCCUCAACAAAAGACACAAUAUUUAUGGCUUUUUUCCUUUAGUUCCUAUAAUUUGAUUUUUUUUCUAAAAACAGUGGAAAAAAUUGGACAAGUAGGAUAUCCACAACAACUGCAGAAGUGGAAUACCUCCCUGCAGCUGGUAUCUCUGUAUACAUCUGGUCUUUUGUCAUCUUCUGCACACGGGAGUGUUGAUGGUCUCCCCUUGCCCAGCCCAUGGAGGAGGUGCAUUUCCCUGUGCCCCAUUCCCAAUCCCACCCCACUGAUUGGUGCUAGCUGGCUGGAUUCCUCAGCCCACUCACACCCUUCUCUGCAUUACUCCAAAGGAUGUGCAGCUGGCACUGGACUCAGGAGAAGGCAAGUCCCUUCACACAACACACUGUAGGUGAACAUGUGAACCCAAGAAAAGCGAUCUUGCUCUGUAUUUAGUAAGGCCUGUUGUGGUAGAAUGAGGGGUAAUGGUUUGAAACUAAAUGAGGAUCAACUUAGAUUAGAUACCAGGGAGAAGAUUUUUACAAUGAGGGUCAUAAAACACUGGAACAGAUUUCCCAGAGAAGUGGUGGAUGCCCUGUCCCUGGAAACAUUUAAGGUCAGUUUUCAUUGGGCUUUGAGCACCCUGAUCUAGUUGAAGAUGUCCUGCUCAUGGUAGGGAAAUUGAACUAAAUAGUCUUCAAAGGUCCCCUACCAAACUAUUCCAAUUCUAUGAUCUGUGAUGAAGAGUAAAGGAUCCCCCUUUUCUAAAGGUUUUUCUAAAAUAAUUCCUUAAAGCAACAUCUGUAGGUGAAAUGCUGCUGUUAUAGGCUUUGCUUUUGGAAAGCUGCUGGAGAUAAAGGAAGAAGCUGUUUCAGUUGAAAAGAUGGAUCAGAAUACUUGAGGCAGAUAUUGCUUCUUGCUCCUGGAUACAACUAUUCAGAAAAAUGGAACUGCUCUCCUCCCAUGGGAAAAGGCCAUGCUACGACUUUGACACAUUCCUGCAGAAAACAACUGUUUUUUCACAUUUCCCUGCUAGAAAUGGGCAAUUUUCUCACAAACACUGUGUUUUCUGUCACCUCAAUUUCCUACCAGUAUUCCCCUGUACUACCCACUUCUUGAGAGCCCCAGACAGGACAGGGAAUCUGUGUUACCAAAUGCAAAGAGCUAAAAACAGACAAAAAGGAGCCUGAUCCUGCCACCUAACAGUGGCUUCUGCUGCUCCUACUUUUUGUGCAGUCAUGGGGUACUGAGUCUCACCCCACAAAUUAACCUAACUGAGCUGCAGGACCUGCCCUUGUAUCAGACAUGUCCUUGUUUUCUAUGGCCCCUGGUUCAGUGUGUGGAUGAACUGAGGUGAUCCCUGGACUGACAAUGAGCCUGAACAGUGAUUAAAUUUUUGAUUCACACUAUCAACCAAAAAGCCAUGAAAAUAGUGGUGCUUAUUCUGCUGUUGCCGCUUCCCUUCCCUACUUCAUCGUUCUCUUAAAACUUUUCCAGUUCUCCGUUCUUCACUUGAGCUUUUUCUCUGACAUGGCCCUUUCCCUGCAGCCUAUUGCAUCUGGAGGAUGCUCAGUGAUCUCUUCUGGCCUUGCUGCAGCUCCAGCUCUCUUCCUGCAGCUCCUUUUUUCCUUCAGAAGAGCUAGGACAAGUGCCAGCUAAGGAAGCAAGACAUAUCUCUGCUAACAGCUGCUCCUUAAAAACUUGCAAAAUCCGAUUGUGUGCAGCUGACUGCAGAGCUGGUAUAUGUGUCAGAAACCUGACAGAAACUAAACCUGAAAAAAUGAGGGUAACAUACUUCUACUUAGAAGAUUUAAAGACGUUACUUUUUUUUUUUUUUUUGGUAGAAUCUCUUUACCAUACCCAAAAUUGGCUAGGGCAAAAGAUCUCUGUUAUUCAGCAUCUAAAUUAAAGGCUGAUAAAUCUGA